GUAGGUGGCAAGCGUUGUCCGGAAUUAUUGGGCGUAAAGCGCGCGCAGGCGGUUCUUUAAGUCUGAUGUGAAAGCCCACGGCUCAACCGUGGAGGGUCAUUGGAAACUGGAGAACUUGAGUACAGAAGAGGAAAGCGGAAUUCCACGUGUAGCGGUGAAAUGCGUAGAGAUGUGGAGGAACACCAGUGGCGAAGGCGGCUUUCUGGUCUGUAACUGACGCUGAGGCGCGAAAGCGUGGGGAGCAAACAGGGAUUAGAUACCCUGGUAGUCCACGCCGUAAACGAUGAGUGCUAAGUGUUAGGGGGGUUUCCCGCCCCCUUAGUGCUGCAGCUAACGCAUUAAGCACUCCGCCUGGGGUAGUACGGCCGCAAGGCUG
rnacentral:rRNA from 1 species